UACGGGGGGGGCAAGCGUUGUUCGGAAUUACUGGGCGUAAAGGGCGUGUAGGUGGCCAACUAAGUCCGACGUGAAAUCCCCAGGCUUAACCUGGGAACUGCGUCGGAUACUGGAUGGCUUGAAUUCGGGAGAGGAAUGCAGAAUUCCGGGUGUAGCGGUGGAAUGCGUAGAGAUCCGGAAGAACACCGGUGGCGAAGGCGGCCUGCUGGGCUAUGGCUGACACUGAGGCGCGACAGCGUGGGGAGCAAACAGG
rnacentral:rRNA from 1 species